GACUGAUACUCUCGAAAUUGUAACAAUGAUUUUUCUAUAAUUAAAUUUAUUAAAAAAUAAAAAACAAUAAUGUAACUCCAUACAAUCUUUCUAAAUCUACGAUGAAGUAACUGGUGAUAUCUACACAUUUAUUGACGCUAUGAGUGGGACAAAAGAUAAUGUAAACAAAGAAGAACCAGACUGUGAUUGCUACGCGGAUGCACGCACCAAGUCGACCUGCCCUCCGACGCGGAACGUGACGCACCCCCUGCGGUACUAUGAGUUCACCCAGGAAGAGAUGAAAGCGCUGGAAGAAUGCGACACAGAGAGCUUCUACCAGCGCUGCUUGCCGUUCAGCGCAAUUCUGGCCACUUUGACGUACACUGCCAUAAAGAACGGCUACCUUAAGCCCAACCCCCGGUUCGGGCCAUUCCCGAAAGUGACGCUGGCAGUAGUGAUCGGCUACUUUAUCGGUAAAAUGUCCUACCAGCAGGCGUGCGCCGAGAAGCUCAUGGCACUUCCCGGCAGCUACAUCGGCCAGCUGCUGCGAGAACGGAAAAGUGGAAAAGUUAUAGGAGGCAGUCGAACCACAGUGGGCACUCAACCACCAGGCUCGACGAUGUUCGGCGCAAACCCGGGCGACAUAUACUCGGACGCGGGCCCCGGCAGAUCGCUCGACCUGGAUACAGAGCGUCCUUUGUUCAACGACGACUCCUACCAUCCUGGCUCCUCGGCACCUGUCCCGGCGCCGGAGGUCGCCCCCAGAAAUCCAAGCCUUUCCUACGACGACUUACGUCGUAAAAAUAGAGAUGACUACCAAGGUGCCAAACAGGACCCAUACAGGAAAAAGGCGGGCUAAGCCGUUGCUGAGAAGCAAUCUGUAGUGACUCUGAGAGAUUGAGAGAAUUGGCAUGCGCUACGCUAAAACAAUGACCGAGCUAGGUGCGCCACCGCCCGUGCAGCGCAAGCGCCCCGAGCCCCCGGUGCUGGCGCCGCCCGUGCCGACUAACAAGUACGGUGACGUCAUGGAGUAACGUUGCGUCGCUCGUCCACGUCUUGUCAUUGCGUAGUUACGAGUCCACAGCGCGUCAUUCGUUCGUAAACCGUGAUAUAUUGUGCGCUUACAAAGCCUUGAGAUAGAUGGUGCUCCGGUACCAUUGCACUGUAAAGGCCCCUAUAGUCGUUUUACAUUGAUGGGUAUCGUAAUGACGUUUGAUAUUUGAAUAGAAGUUUCAAUAGAGAUGUGGUGAUAAAAUCGUGUGAAUUAUCUAACCGAUAAAAUCCACAUACAAGAUAAAUCGAUUAGGAGCACAAUGAAACGAUUUAUUUUCAAAAUUAACAUAUACAGGCAUUUCAGUGGCUACUGACCACCUUGCUCAUAACGCGUAGGUCCAUCUUGGUCACAAUUACACCGGCACACAAUGUCAUUACAAUAACCAUCAGAGAAUAAAAAGACUAUAGCAUGCAUAGUUACGUCAGUUAAACAAGCGUACUUUUUCAUAAUGUACAAAACUGUUUUAAUUGACAAUGGAAAAUAAUAGUUGAGUUUUAUAA